GUUAUUAAGGGUGAAGGGCGGAUGCCUUGGCACUA
rnacentral:rRNA from 1 species